ensembl:lncRNA
GGUUUCUGAGAAGUUCCUUGAUAAGGGGGGGCUUCUAAAUUAUUUGGUGAGGCUGGAAGGAUCACAGCAGCUCAUUGCAACAAAGACCUCUAAGUUACUCCAUGCCAUGUUCUCUGCUGACUAUCUCUGUAGCGUGAACAAUCACAUUUCCCUCUACAACGUUAUUCUGUGUGUUGGUCUGGCUCCACUCAUUAGCUUAAUCGCAGACAUAAUGUUCCUUUAGCCUGGGGAAGAAUUUGAAGGGAGGGAAGAAUACCUGGCCUUGCAGCAGUUUAGAGCUGGGCUCAACAGGGAAGACCUGUCCAGAAAAGCCCUUUGGAGCAUCAAGAAAUGGCUGAGCAGUCAGGAGGUGUCUCUGUGAAAAGAAGCCUUGUGGGUUCCUCUGGUUCAGCCAAUGCUGAGUAACUGGAGAAUAAGCCAGAUUUUAUGACUGCUCAUGUUUCUUAGACAUCACUGAACACAGCACUAUGACUUAAAUAUUGAAAUAAACUGCUCCUAAGCAUGGUCUCACUCCUUCCCUGUUAAAUUAAAGGACAUCUUUAAAUUAACUAAAAAAGUACAUUUGAGGUUGCAGGUGUGAAGCUUGGCUUACAUCUGCUCUGUUGCUCUCCCCCAGAGCAGGGCAGGAGCCAGUGGUAAUUUGCAUCGCCUCUUCUGCCAUUCCAGAUCCUUCAGGCUGCUUUGUGCUUCAUUUCUCCCUCCCAUUCUCCCACACGGGUAUUGUCAGCCAUUGUCAGAGUUGGGUGGAAUGCAGUUAAGUGCAGCUAACCCAGGAAAAGAGCCCCAAAGGAAUAAAUUAGUGUCUGAAUUAAUUCCUGUUACAAGCUGGAAGUUCUCCAGAAACUUCAGAAGCCGCUUGCUUGAGUCCAAAGGACGGAGGGAUCAUUCAGAGAUGGAGGAGCAGAAGCUCUUGAUGUGCUUCCAAGCUUUGUGAAACAGCUCACCUGAACUGCAGGCAUGGGAAUGUUUGGUGGAAUUAGCCCAUGGGCAUCCACAGGGAUGAGAAGAACUGAAGCAGAAGUCAGAAUCCUGGUAAGGUCCUGUUUCCAAAGAAGGAAGACCAAAUGAAGAGUGCUCCAAAUCUGAGCACCUAAAUGUGCCAUAUGAGGUGCUUCUGGAAGGGAAAACAGCAGGGCAAGUCGCUGUUACUGGGAGCAGUCACAGUGUGGGGGGCCCCAGGGCAAGCACGAGGGUCAGGGUGUUCCUGGUGCUGCACAAGGAGCGUGACUGAAGCAGAGAGGUACAGAGCACCAAGUGCAAAGCUUCUUCUUGGGAGAAGACUGGACUCCAGGAAUUUUUCUGCACUUCUUUUAGAGCUACAGAACAAUGUAAGAAACUCAGAUCCAGGGGGUUUUCCCCCAAAGCUUUGCAAGAGGGAAGAAAACCAGUGGUACAAAAUAUAUCCUUUUUUCCCAUUAGUCAGAUGCAAUCAGGUAUCCUUUCCCUUCUGCUGACUUCUGAGGAAAAACAGCAAAGAGCCUCUCUCCAUUAGAAACCUGUGAGGUCUCAGGCCAGCUCAAAGCAAGCAGUGAAAGAAGGUGUGGAGUCUCCACCAAGCAGGAGAGGUAGAGCAAGAGUCGCCCUUCAGGUGUCACCCAUUUACAAUAAACAGAUCUGCUGCCAGUUUAGGGAGGGUUACACCACAAUAGGUCACUGUAGGUCUGGCUUUGCACAUGUGUUGCUUUUUAUUUUUAGUUUCUCCCUUGUCUUGUCAUGUUUUUUUUCAUGGAGGAGGGGCUCAAGCAGCAAUGCAAUGCAUAAAGGUAUGGGUACAGAUGUUUUGCCUGUGGUAGGGAAACAACAGUGGUUUUGGCCUUCUAAAGCAGAGAAAAGGAAAGAGCAGCAGGACUUGCCUGGAUGUUUUGUAGCAGGAACAUCAACAACCUCUUGGAGAGUAAGGUUAGUCUUUUCCUGGUAUUGUAUUUUACUAAUGUUGUGGAAAUAAAGAAAAUAUAUUCAGUGGACAACAGAGAAACAUCAGUGAUCGUAUUCUGUAUUCUGGAAACCUGUAUCCUUAAACUUCUGGUCUCAUAUAGCAAUUUUUCAAUGUUUUUCCCU